AGCCGCUGAAAGCUGUCAAAGAACUUUCUAAGAAAUUUUCAAAUCUACCCGGAGUCUGAAACGACAAACGACGAUUUCCCACAGAAAUCUGACGAUAUAUAGUGCAGGUUCUCCAUAAAGAUUUCUUUAACUUUUGCGGACAAGCCUGCGAAGCGCUUGCAGCCAUUUGACCUAGGGAUCCCCGCAGAUGUUAAAGAAACACUAAGGUUCUUUAAUGCUCUUUACUUGGAUGCAUUAUCGUUGUCAUUGACAGCAGAAUUGGCAAGGCUUGCUUAAAAAGAGAUCCUGUUCCUUGUUCCUUGAUCUUAUAUCAAUGGAAGAACCGUGGAGGGUCACAACGACUGUAAAAAGCGAGCCGGAUGCCAUUCCCGAUGGCCAGUUUUGUUUUAGGCACAAUCAUGGGACCCCGUUCAGGAGCUUUCGUCCGUGAGUGGCAUGAUGGUCUACUUUAUAAGUAACUGCUUAUCCCAUAAUAGCUGAAAAUUGGCCACAGCAGUGUUCCUUUUAAGGGAACACCAUUCCACAAUCCCCACAGGCGCAGUACUUGGGUCUGAUCCUGGACAAGCGGCUCACCUGGAACAGCUCACAAUGAAAAUCGCAGCUUAAUGUCGGGCUAUGCUUAGUGAGCUCAACUGGCUGCUGUAGCCAACUAGCAAGCUUACUCUGGGCGAUCUGUAGACAAGAAGGACUUCUUUGUUUCUAAACUCCUAAAUUUAUAAAUAUUAAGUUGGAGUGCAAACAUCAAAGCGGUUUAUUGGUUGCAAUGCCGAUGGAAUCGCUGGACUGGGCCUAAGUCAAAUACCGUGUUGUGCGCCCAUUAGUCCGAGCAGAUUCCGGUGCACAUUAUUUCUGGCCACGGCACGUGUCUGAACCGCAAACAGAUGAAUUUUUGCAGUGCCGAGUCUCGUGCGAUGAGGACAACGAAAUAUGAGCAGGCGGCAGGCACUAAGGGCAGUUUGCGUAUUCCAAGUCUCGGUCCAGGAACUGAAACGGGAGCAGGACCCGUAGCUGGAGCUGGAGCCGGAGCCGGAGCCGGAGGAGCACUGCAAUUCGUCCUCGGGGUCUUUUUGGUGUUAAUAAUAAAUAAACGGACCGGCCUUGCAGCAGGAGUCCUGCCCGUGUUUUGGACACACUGUAGCGGAUUUUAAUGGACGAAUGCGAGUGCAGCGGCGGAGUGGAGCUAAAACCCAUGAGCCAUAGCCGGAGCACACCUUUUCCCAGGUGCAUGUGUGACACCCGAACCCUUCCUACGUUCCUGCCUUGAAAUACAGCAUUUGCUCGUCCAUCUUUUGAUUUAGCACCGACAUAAAAAUGAUUUAUCAGUGACAUUAAAAUAAUGCAUA